AUUGAACGCUGGCGGCAUGGCUAAAACAUGCAAGUCGAACGCGAAAGGGGGCAACCCCAAGUAGAGUGGCGAAAGGGCGAGGAACAGAUUUCUACGUACCCCAAGGUCGAGGAUAAUCAGGGGAAACUCUGACUAAUACUCGAUGAUGUCGUGAGACCAAAGGCUUGCUGCCUUGGGAGCGGGGAAUCUCCUAUCAGGUUGUUGGUGAGGUAAUGGCUCACCAAGCCGAAGACGGGUAGCGGGUGUGAGAGCACGGCCCGCCGCAUCGGGACUGAGACACUGCCCGGACUCCUACGGGAGGCUGCAGUAACGAAUCUUCCGCAAUGCGCGAAAGCGUGACGGGGCAAUGCCGCGUGCAGGACGAAGCCCUUCGGGGUGUAAACUGCUGUCAGGGUUCACCAACACAAUGAGGAGACCCAAAGGAAGCACCGGCUAACUCUGUG
rnacentral:rRNA from 1 species